AUGUAUUUAGCUAGUUCAGAGAGCAUCAUCAACAUGCUGCAUAACAAGAUAGAAUGAUAACACCUCUAUCAGCUGACGCCAACAGGCAGGAACAGGGAGACAGAACACUGAGAGCACAGCAGCCAAGGUUACAGGUGCCUGUGCUCAGUCAGGACAGUUUGAACUGAUACACUGGGUCAAAGUUAUGGGCCUUGGAAAAUAUUCCACAACAAAUAGUAUUGGAAUUAAUAUGCUCUGUACUUGGAGCCUACCUUAAUUCACCCCCUGUGGAAAGUGACGAAGUCUAUAGCACAGACAGAGGCUCUGUGUAUCAAAACUUUUUCCCCGAGGAGUUCAUACACAACCCACCCUUUGAGGUAACCGCAGACCCCUGGGGGCCAGCCGUCGCCCUCCCCCGGGACUCAGAUAACCAGACAGACAGCCCCCUUUUCAACACUACCCCGCAGCAGCAGCAGCAGCAGCCUAUAUCUGAAACCUUCCUACAAAUUCCACCAGAACUGCAGGCCGAUUUUGACACUUGCAGUGCCUAUCUGGACGACUUUGAGUUGCACCCCGUUCAAGACACACUCCUAACGAGUCAGACAGACUCACCCCUUAGUCCUCGGGUCGAGGGUGAACCAUCAGCACAGAAUAUUCGAGAGAUCCAAGCCGGUAUAUCACUCGUCACAGAUCCCCUCCUGACGAGAUAUCACCCCGAUCAGUCAAGCUAUUAUCAAGGUGACCAACACUGCUGCUACUGCCAUCUUUAUGGACACACCUACUGAGGGUCUCAUGUAAAUUGAUGCCGAUGUAACCGACCGGUAUGUUUCUUCAGCUGUGACAAAUGUAUUUCUGAUUUUUGUUUCAUAAACGGUCAAACAUG